GAGAGAGAAGACGCUGGGUAGAACCGGUUGUAGCAUACCUUCCAGUGGAAGACCUGUUUGUUUGAGAAGGAUCGUGAGAGACAUUUGGAAGGCGGGGUGUGCUUUCAUGUUGACCGAGACCCAGCGUGGGCCGUGGACAAUUCUGAUUUGAUGAAGAUGGAUGUGAAAGCACAGAGGAACAUCUGGAAAAAUUUCUGAAACGCUCGUUCGCUGCUGUCGUUAGGCCUCAAAAUCCCCAGCCUUGCCUGCUGUUGGCGACCAAGAAGGAGGUUGAAUUGUUCGGAUAGUGAUGGCGCUCAGUACUCAGCGUCGGAGAGCUGAUCAGAGCCCGAAGUUUUUGGAUGACUCAGAGUCGGAUUGUGGUCGGAUAUGGCAGGGAGAGUUUUUCUUCCUUCUCUCCGUCUGCGUGAGAUGUGGGACAUUUGAGAGACUUUGAACUUUUACUGUGCUUAUGGACUUAUUCAUCAAGUUAUGAUACUUCCUGAUUUCUUGAAUGGUUACAGCAUGUCCUACUUUGAUAUACACAUUGGAAUAAUACCAAAAUUGUAAAAGCAAACCAUAAAGUGAGUUCUAAUAUUAAAACACAGAAAGUAAACAGCUUUAUUCUGUUACUUCAUUUAACACAGUGCCAAUAAUGCAAAGAUGGUUGAUCUUAAACCACUCCUUUACUUUUGCCCAUGAAUGACGUAACCAUAGAAACUCAAGAGACUGUAAAUGCUGGAAUCUGGAGCAACAAAUAAUCUGCUGGAGGAACUCACUAUUUUAAGUGCACCUCAAUUUAAAGUAAUUAAGAGGCUAUUACAUUAUAUGUCCUUAAGUAGAGGACAGUCACCAAGAUGCCCACAGGUCAAGUGGA